rnacentral:rRNA from 1 species
AUUGAACGCUGGCGGCAGGCCUAACACAUGCAAGUCGAGCGGAUGAAGGGAGCUUGCUCCUGGAUUCAGCGGCGGACGGGUGAGUAAUGCCUAGGAAUCUGCCUGGUAGUGGGGGAUAACGUCCGGACACGGGCGCUAAUACCGCAUACGUCCUGAGGGAGAAAGUGGGGGAUCUUCGGACCUCACGCUAUCAGAUGAGCCUAGGUCGGAUUAGCUAGUUGGUGGGGUAAAGGCCUACCAAGGCGACGAUCCGUAACUGGUCUGGGAGGAUGAUCAGUCACACUGGAACUGAGACACGGUACAGACUCCUACGGGAGGCAGCAGUGGGGAAUAUUGGACAAUGGGCGAAAGCCUGAUCCAGCCAUGCCGCGUGUGUGAAGAAGGUCUUCGGAUUGUAAAGCACUUUAAGUUGGGAGGAAGGGCAGUAAGUUAAUACCUUGCUGUUUUGACGUUACCAACAGAAUAAGCACCGGCUAACUUCGUG